rnacentral:lncRNA from 1 species
GGCUCUGAGAGAGUCAGGGAUGAAGCAGUUUGUGUUUUGAGAUGGUCUUUUUUAUGUAGCCCAGGCUGGCAGCAAUCUUGUGGCAAUCCUGGCUUAGCCUCUCCCACGUGCUAGGUUACGCGUGUAUACGUCACACCCAUCCAAGGCUAUUUUAUUUUGUGUUUUGUUGUGUUUGUUUUUUUUGUGUUGUUUGUUUGUUUGUGUUAAGACAGGGUUUCUCUGUAGCCCUGGCUGUCCUAGAACUUCCUACAUACAGCAGGCUGGCCUCGAACUCGGAGAUCCACCUGCCUUUGCCACCGGAGUCCUGAUAUCAAAGGCGAAUGCCAGCACCGCCAGGCCCAAAGCACAGUUCUUAACAUCCAGGUCUGAUGGGAAAGAACAGAUCCUCACCCUGGAUGAGACAGGGCACCUCACCACUCCUGUCUGCCGUUUCCGAUCAGCUGAUCUACAUCCUGUUGCUUCACUCCUACUGAUGCUCAAGUCAGUGCCGGUGAGGACCCAGGCUGCGUAGGUCCGUGGUACCAGUGUCUGCCAUUGAUUAUUAAGACACUACUGCAUGUGCGACACUACUCCAAAAGACUCCACGUGUGUCUAUUUUUUUUUUCCCUCAGUCCCUCGGUUCACACACCUGAGCGUGUGGUGAGUUUACGUAGGGAUCACGUGACUGGAUGAAGCUGAAUGACAGGAGUCGGGGUCCCCACAGUCCGGUUUCUGCCUUCUGUUGCAAGGAGUUCGCCUAGCAAGACUCUGGAAAGGGGGUUCCCCUGCACCUCUCCUCACCUCCUACAGCAGCCAGUAGGGAUGGCCCGCCAUUGAGAAGCCUGUCAAAGCUGUGCUCUCAGCAUCCGGGCUGCUUCUGUGCUACCGCCAGUGCCCAGCAACCACCAGGGACUGGGCAACAGCAAAAGUGAAGCUGACUCAGCCGGUUUCCACCCCCGCCCAGGGAAAUGGGGAGCAGCCUCGGCUGGACAACAACCAAUUAGGCACUUUUUAUUGCCCACGCUGUCAUAAUCCUUCAGAGCUUGGCUGGGAGGA